UUGAUUUCUUCUCUUCUGUUUUGUGGGCUUCAAGUCAGUUGCUUCUGUUUGAAGACAAUCUCUUGGACACAACUCAGUGAGGUGGUGAAGUCGUGCUGCAGCUCUAGCUGGUAAAAAUGAAUCUGUUUCUCUGUGGACUGAACCAACCUGAGGGAUCUUUGCUGUUAAAACGUUCCCCUCUGACCCCUCCGACCCCUCACCGGCCCUCAUCCUGGCUGGCCGCUCCUCCUCAGAGCCGGGCUGAGGUGUGUUUUCCGAGCCGACCUGAACAGUUUGAACAUUGUGCUCUGAGUGGAUUGGGUUCCUGUCAGGGCUGAGCGUUUGGACAUUGAUAAAUUUCCUCCUGUGUGGGAUCGAUAACUCUCACCUCUCAGCCCAGGGCUCCUUCAGAGUGGGACGUCAUAAUUACUCUGUCAAAGUGAAUGCCUGUCUGUGUUAAGACUGACGACUGCGGUGUUAGUGUGUGUGUGUGUGUGAGAAAGAAUGAUAUAGGGUCAUUCACUUUGUGUGCAAAGCAGAAAGAAGCGUUUUUAUGGUAUUUUAUGUUUCAGGAUGUCUGCAUGAAGAUUUAUGGAUUAUGUUUCUACAUGUGGGCUUAAAAGGUUGUGUGCAUAUGUUUGUGUUUGUGUACGUGUGUGGUUGUGUUCCUGUAUGUUUGUGUGGGCCCAGGUGAUGCUUUGUUGGUUGAGCAGGACUUGAGACUGGCAGUGAUUGACAGCUGGGCAGCCCGCCUCCUCCUUUCUCCUCCCACGGCGCUUUUUGAUGCCUGUCACAUUGGCCAAUCAGCGGAGUGAUCUGACAGCUGUCAUGACAACAAAAUAAACACACACUCAAACACACACACACAUACACAGAAAAAAACACACGCAUACAUGUACACAGACCUAAUUCCUAAACAGCAGACCCAAAUGGCAAACCUACUUAGCUGCACUCUAAACCCUCCUACAAUUUUCAAAUUGUUAAGCAGCAACAAUUAAGCUGAAAAACAAACUUAUUUUGUAAGAUUAUCCUUUUUUUUUGACAAAAAUCCAAAUCAACAAAUUUAUAUUGUUGAAAAAGACCAAAAUACAUAUCAAAACCCAAACUUUACCGAGUGUAGUUGUGCUUAGCAGUCAAAAAUCUCAUGGUACUUAACUCUCCUGUUAUGUUGUGGGUCAAAUUGACCCUU